GUGUCACGACACAUUAACAGUAGUUAGAUUUUUUUUUUUUUUAAAUACCCCUAUUGUUAGAUAAUGGUAUGUUUCAUGUUGCUCCGUUUUCUUCUUUCCCUUUGAUUUCAUCUUCAUCAGCCGGGGCAUGGAAACGAUCGACUUGGAAGGAGCUAGCCCAGAGGGGUAUUGCAAUCAAGCAGGAUCAAGGAGUUGGCUAGCUAACUUGUCAAAAUAUUCUGAAAUAACUUUGUAUUUAAAAAAGAUGAACUUGAAAUGGCCCCAUUGUCUUUUUGACUCAACUACCAAAAAGACAUGCGUUUUGCUUGCUUAAACGGGAAGUUCAGCCAUUUUUACUCUUUAUGUGCUUGUAGUUGAUCCUCCAAACAUGUCAUAUUUUGAGAGAAAAUUUGUCACAAAACAAUUCCAAUUACAUCAGAAUCUCAUUCUUGAGGUCUCUGCACUCAACCAUUUAUUUAUUUUCCCACUGUGCCAUACAACCAUGUUUAAAUUAUUAUUUUUACAACAAAAUUAUGGAUUUAUGGGACAGUGGAACAUUCUUUUAAAAAAUGUAGUACAGAGGCAUUAUCCAGAAUGAGAUUCUGAUGUAAUAUGAGUUGGUUUGUAGUGUUUUAUAACAUGCUUAGACACAUUUUCAUAAUGCAUUGUAGUGUAUGGCAAGGGAUGCACAGAAAGAGUGUAUAUAUGGCCACAUUUAAAAACGUCCCCUUUAAAAAAACAAAAUCUAUAGAUAUUUUUGGUUAUCAAAGUAAGCUGAUGGAUCCUGCUUUGUAGUAUACCCCCUUGGUGGCCUGUUGUGUGUGAUAUACUUAAGUUGAGACUACUUAAGUUAUUAUGCCUGUUCAUCUCUGGUAAAGGGUAGAUGGCAGCAACGUAGGGCCUCCAUUCAUCACCCAACCAGUCACUCUGGGCUCCCGAGUGGCACAGCGGUGUAAGGCACUGCAUUUCAGUGCUAGAGGCGUCACUACAGACCCUGGCUCGAUUCCAGGCUGUAUCACAACCGGCCGUGAUUGGGAGUCCCAUUGGGCAGCGCACAAUUGGUCCAGCCGGCAUUGUAAAUAAGUAAUUGUUAACUGAAUUGCCUAGUUAAAUAAAGGUUAGGGUUGCAAAGGGUCGGAAAACUUUCUGGUACAUUUCUAGAAUUUUUACUUAACUUCCAAGGAAAAUGUAAGCCUGGGAAUUUUGCUUUAAAUUCAUCAAAAAGUUCUUAUAACAGGGAACCUUUUCUGUGGGAUACACAAGGCAAUUCUAGGUCUUGUGGCAUAUUUUGGUUAAACUAUCCCCAAUUCAAUGGAAUUGCAACCCUCUGCAUGUGCAGUGCACUCUUCCAUCACAUGUACAGCUGAUUCUCAAGAACUUGCACACUAAUGAGAUGCUAUUGAGCCCACACUACUACACUAUCUGAGCCAAGGACUACAUGCUUUCUGGAAAAUGCCACGGGCACUAUCUGACAUGUAGAGACAUUUCACUGUAGCUAAUGUAGAAGGAAAAGCUGUGUACAUUUUCAAAUAUGGUGCCAAACCAUAUGUGGAGAAUGCAACAAAGAUGCAGAAUCAUCUGGCCAAGCGCAUAAAGUUCUCUCAGCCCUCACAACCUCUAACAAAAGUCCCUCUACUUCUAUUAGAGGUGAAAAUUAUGAAUCAGACAUCUUAUCGAUAGCAACAGCUCAUGGUCCUCCUAGAAUCAGAAGUUUUCUUGACUCAAUUGAGGAACGUAGUCAGAGAAAUGACGAUGAAUGUCUUGCUCGAGCUGUAUAUGCAACUGGUUCACCUCUGUUGCUCACAGGCAAUGUGUAUUGGAAGAGAUUUCUGAAUGUUCUUCGCCGAGCAUACACCCCUCCACCCAGCCAUGCUUUAUCUACUCAUUUGCUAGAUGCAGAGUUUUAGCAAAUCAUAGAGAAAGCAGACUGUAUAGCAAUCACCUCUGAUGGGUGGGCAAGGAAUAAUUAACUACAGCGCCACCCCUCAACCAGUAUUCUACAAGAGCACAGACACAGACAUACUGGUCUCUACAUUGCAGAUGAGCUGAAGGCAGUCAUCAAUGACCUUGGACCACAGAAGGUAUUUGCACUGGUGACAGACAAUGCUGCAAACAUGAAGGCGGUUUGGUCUAAAGUGGAGCAGUUCUAUCCUCACAUCACACCCAUUGGCUGUGCUGCUCAUGCAUUGAAUCUGCUCCUCAAGGACAUCAUGUCACUGAAAACAAUGGAUAAGAGAGCUAUUGAAAUGUAAGUAAAGGGUCAAGUUGUAGAUUGCUGUGCUGCUAUCUCACCAAGCAAAGUGAGAAGAAUAAGAGCAUCACAUCCAAAGCUGCCAGCAACACCCGUUAGGGUGGUGUUGUCAUCAUGUUUGACAGUCUCCUGGAGGGGAAGGAGACCAAGAAAUGGCUAUAUCACAGUAUGCCGAUAUGGACAGCCCCAUCAAGAGGAUCCUCCUGGAUGAUGUAUUUUGAGAGAGUGGUUAGCAGCCUGAAACCUAUAGUAGUAGCCAUUGCAUGGAUUGAGGGAGACAAUGCCAUCCUGUCUGAUGUUCAGACUCUGCUUGCAGAUGUAAGAGAAGAAAUACGUACUGCCCUGCUACGCCAAGCAGAGGACACUGCAGUUCUGAAAUACAUCAAGUGUGAAGACUUCUGCCUGAAGCCCAUACAUGCCGCAGCGCACAUGUUGGAACCAAAGUAUGCUGGCAAGAGCAUCCUGUCUCGUGCAGAGAUCAACAAGGCCUAUGGUGUCAUCACUACUGUGUCUAACCACCUUGGCCUGGACGAGGGCAAGGUUCUUGGCAGUCUGGCGAAGUACACUUCCAAGCAAGGGUUUUGGGAUGGAGAUGCAAUAUGGCAGUCAUGCCAUCAUAUCUCAUCAGCCACCUGGUGGAAGGGACUUUGUGGAUCUGAGGCUUUUCCCCUGUUGCCUCCAUCAUCCUCCAAAUUCCACCAACAUCAGCCACCUCAGAGCUCAACUGGUCCUUGUUUGCGAACACACACACCAAAGCACACAACAGGCUGACCAAUACAAGGGUUGAAAAAUUGGUGGCCAUCCGAGCCUGACAACGAGCCAUCCUCAAUAAGGUUGGAAAGUGAGAGUGAAGAUGAGGCCUAAGAGUCUGAUGUUCAAGAGGUGGACAUUGAGGAGGUCCAGGGAGAAGACAUGGAAGCCUGAGAGGAAGACAACCAAAGCUUUAGUUUCUAGACUAUAAUUUUAACAGAUUUAUGUUGAAAACGUUUUUGGGAGAUGUGAUGGAUCAUUCAAUAUUCCCUUUCUUUUGUUGUUCAGUGAAAUCAUCCCAUGUGAAGAGUCAACUCAUUUAAAUUAAAGUUCAAUUUGUAAAUCUUUUUUUUUUUUAUAAUAGAAGGAUUUAAUAAUUUGCAAUUAUGUCUACUUAUAAGGUAAACUAUUUAUGUUUUUGUCUCCAUAUGAUAUGGUACAUAUAUCCAAUGCAACAAAAACAAUUACAUUUAAAUGGGGUUAAUAUUCAUUUGCAUAUAUUCCUGUUAAAUCCCACAGAAAUUUUCCUGAAUAUUCCAAAAUGUGCAACCCGAAUAAAGGUUAAAUAAAAAAUAAACUACAUCAUCUUGCAUCCAUCAAACAUUAAUCCCUCCAUCCUUACAUCUAACAAUAAUCUAAUUUUCAAAAAUUUUAUCAGACAUUUACCUCAGACAUGAAUAACAAACUCUCAAUCUGUUAACAAUAUUUAAUAUGUUUUUUAUUAAUUUUAAAAGGAUAUGCUUAGAUCCAUUCAUUCAGUUGACACUUAUUGUAUUAUAAAAUGGAAUGUGGACAAAAAAGUAACAUGAAUGUCUUCAUAUGGUUUUUCUCCAAUAUUUUAGAAAAAUUGCCUUUAGUAAUGCAUCCAAAAAACCUUCUACAUUUAAGUCAGGCACCACUUUCAAUAAGGCACACACUGAAUUUACAAAUUGAAAUGCUUUGCUUGGCUUACGGGCCAAAACGGGUUUACUAUUUCCACAAGUUGACAACCUUGCCCCUCGUUUUCAGUGAAGUGAAGAAAGGAUAUGCCAAAUUUCAUAAAUAAGUGUGAUAUCAUCCAGUACUUACACUGAUUAGUGUGCAAUAGUACAUAUAAAAUAAAAUAAAGUUGACACUCAAAGCCAACAAGCUGUAGAACUCUACAUUCUCAGGGUACAGUGAGAGGUUUGCAUGAUAAUGAAACAUGUACAUUUGAAUGCUUGCUACUAUGUGGUGUACGUGUUCAGAUUUUGUUUCAUUGUAAACUGGAUAAUGCAGAGAAUUUAAGUUGAAAUAUGCAUAUUAUUUACCCAUUCCCCUUUGAUGCUUACUUGCAUCAUGUAUACAAACACUACAGGGAACCUAAUAAUAAUUUUCUUUGAUAUAUUUAAAAGGCAGUCUUGUGGAAAAUAAAAGCUAAUAAUUUCUCCUCAAUAGAGGGCUUGACUACUGAAUUGCAAAAUGAUACUUUUAUCAUGCCUUGCUAAGGGUUACUGUGAUUGAUUAGAAAUGUACAGUAACAUCAUUGCACAAAAUACUCGCUUAUCCAAAUGCAAAAGGUACUAGAAACAAACACUAAGCUUUUCAGUUACUGAUUUCGUAGACAAAAAGUUCACUUUUUAUUUCUCAAAUCUAAAAUAUUUAUCAUGUAUUCGGAAUACACUUGAGUACCCAGAUUAGGUCAACUUCCCUAAAGAAGAGACUUGCACUGUAUGAGUUUUGUAUUUAAACCCACCUCCUCACUUUGUACAAUUAUGUACAGCUACAGUAUAUCAUUAUCAAAUGUUCUUUCUCCUGCAAAAGAUAAACAUCAACAAAUGUGAUACUACAUUUGACGCUACCAAACUGAUGGCCGACUGACAUAGAAUAUCAAUAAAUCAUCUGAAUGAGGAUGACCGACUGUUAUUGUGGUGCAUUGAGUGCUUGUGUUGCUCCAUGGAAUAAAAACAACCAGCGAUAUCCUUCCCCAGUGGUCACAAAUCCUGGUCCCAAUGUGUAGGCUUUUAUUCUAGCCUGACACAAACACACCCAUCUCAACUAAUCAAGGUCACGAUAAGGCAAUUAAUAGAAUCCAAUGUUUUAGUGCUUGGCGGGAACAAAAGCCGGCACAACCGGUAGCUCUCUAGUACUAGGGUUGGUGACCCAUUAUAACCGUUGCUGAUAUAAACUGACACAAAUAACAAUGCAA